rnacentral:rRNA from 1 species
UACGGGGGGGGUAAGCGUUGUUCGGAAUUACUGGGCGUAAAGGGCUCGUAGGCGGCCAACUAAGUCAUACGUGAAAUCCCUCAGCUUAACUGGGGAACUGCGUCCGAUACUGGAUGGCUUGGAUUUGGGAGAGGGAUGCGGAAUUCCAGGUGUAGCGGUGAAAUGCGUAGAUAUCUGGAGGAACACCGGUGGCGAAGGCGGCAUCCUGGACCAAUAUUGACGCUGAGGAGCGAAAGCCAGGGGAGCAAACGGG